rnacentral:tRNA from 1 species
GUAAUGGUAGUUCAGUGGUAGAACUCUUGUCUUCCAUGAGGAAGACCCGGGUUUGAUUCCUGGCCAAUGCA